rnacentral:rRNA from 1 species
AUUGAACGCUGGCGGCAGGCCUAACACAUGCAAGUCGAACGGUAACAGGAAGAAGCUUGCUUCUUUGCUGACGAGUGGCGGACGGGUGAGAAAUGUCUGGGAAACUGCCUGAUUUAGGGGGAUAACUACUGGAAACGGUAGCUAAUACCGCAUAACGUCGCAAGACCAAAGAGGGGGACCUUCUGGCCUCUUGCCAUCGGAUGUGCGCAGAUGGGAUUAGCUAGUAGGGGGGGUAACGGCUCACCUAGGCGACGAUCGGUAGAUGGUCUGAGAGGAUGACCAGCCACACUGGAACUGAGACACGGUCCAGACUCCUACGGGAGGCAGCAGUGGGGAAUAUUGCACAAUGGGCGCAAGCCUGAUGCAGCCAUGCCGCGUGUAUGAAGAAGGCCUUCGGGUUGUAAAGUCCUUUCAGCGGGGAGGAAGGGAGUAAAGUUAAUACCUUUGCUCAUUGACGUUACCCGCAGAAGAAGCACCGGCUAACUACGUG